AUUGAACGCUGGCGGCAUGCCUUACACAUGCAAGUCGAACGGCAGCACAAGGAGCUUGCUCCUGGGUGGCGAGUGGCGAACGGGUGAGUAAUGUAUCGGAACGUGCCCAGUAGUGGGGGAUAACUACUCGAAAGAGUGGCUAAUACCGCAUGAGAUCUCUGGAUGAAAGUGGGGGACCGUAAGGCCUCACGCUACUGGAGCGGCCGAUAUCAGAUUAGGUUGUUGGUGGGGUAAAGGCCUACCAAGCCUGCGAUCUGUAGCUGGUCUGAGAGGACGACCAGCCACACUGGGACUGAGACACGGCCCAGACUCCUACGGGAGGCAGCAGUGGGGAAUUUUGGACAAUGGGCGCAAGCCUGAUCCAGCAAUGCCGCGUGCAGGAUGAAGGCCUUCGGGUUGUAAACUAGCUUUUGUUACGGUAACGAAAAGGACGUCUGGUUAAUACCUGGAGUUUAUGUACGGUACCGUAACGAAUAAGACACCGGCGUAACUACGUGCC
rnacentral:rRNA from 1 species